AUCCUGCAGGACUGAAGAGAUUGGUGAGUUUGCUGCGAUCUUUGAUUCUGCGACCCUCGUUAAAAGAGAUGGUUCCUUGUGGACUGACGGAGGAUGAGAGAGUCUGCGGAAUGGGUGUCAUGUCGUCGAUGGAGAGGUUGAUCCCUCGUCGACUCCGAAGACUUCCCACCUAUAGUACAACCUCCAAUUAGAAUACUGUACCACUCCCUCACUGGACUCGUGACUGCCAGCUAUACUUCUAUGUAGAGAACAAUAGGGCAGAUACUUGUGAAAAUUUACAAAACAUUUGUAAUAAAUUGUAAAAAAUUCA